AGAGGUCCCGCCUGCCCAGUGACACCCAGUUCAACGGCCGCGGUAUUUUGACCGUGCAAAGGUAGCGUAAUCACUUGUCUUUUAAAUGAAGACCUGUAUGAAUGGCAUAACGAGGGCUUAACUGUCUCCUCUCUCAAGUCAAUGAAGUUGAUCUCCCCGUGCAGAAGCGGGGAUAAUUACAUAAGACGAGAAGACCCUAUGGAGCUUGAGACGAUAGGGCAGCCCAUGUUAAACACCCCCCACACCGGACCAAACUAAAUGGCUCCUGCCUUAAUGUCUUCGGUUGGGGCGACCCUGGGGAAUACAAAACCCCCACGUGGAAUAGGAGCACCCGUCCCCCCCCCCGACUCCUCCAAACUAGAGCCACACCUCAAAUUAACAAAACUUUUGACCAAAAAUGAUCCGGCAACGCCGAUCAACGGACCAAGUUACCCUAGGGGAUAACAGCGCAAUCCCCUUUUUAGAGCCCAUAUCGACAAGGGGGUUUACGACCUCGAUGUUGGAUCAGGACAUCCUAUGGUGCAGCCCUAUAAGGUUCGUUUGUCACGAUUAAGUCUAGUGUUGGG
rnacentral:rRNA from 1 species